ACACAGGCAGUGACCCAGAGGCCCUUCUGCUUCCUGGCUAUCAAGUCGUGGUGGCCCUUAUGGGAGUUCAUGUGAGGAGAGGCAGCAAUGAUGAGAGCUCCAUAUCCUCUUGCCAUUGGGAGAUGCUCACUCACAAUCCCAGAGAGAGAGAGGAGAGAGAGAGAAACAGAGACAGAGAAAGAAAGACAGAAAGAGGCAAAGACAAAGAGGCAAAGAAAGAGGGAGGAACCACUGGCUUAGUUGUGAUCAUGUGAUGUUCAGUAUCAUGUAGUGCUCGUAUUACAAGAUAUUGCUUGUUUAUCAAAUUAAAAUGUCAGAAAUUUGCUCAUCUUGCAGAAUCCUCACAGAACAAAUUACUUAUAAUCCAAGGUUUUACUGUAAUUUGUAUUGCGAUCUGCUCAUCAUUUCUUCAUGUCUGGACCUUCACACUUUCUAAUUCUUCCUAAAACACUCUCCAGGUUACUGGGAACUGCUGAAACUGAUCAUGAAGGAUGCCUUCAUUCCUGACAAAGGAGACUGUAGUCAGUCAUUUCCAAGAGUGUGGCCAUCAGUAAGAGGGCCAGGGACAGCUAUCCCCACUCUAGCCAAGGGUUCCUUAAUCCCUGGGCCACAGACAGGACAGUCCAUGACCUGUUAGAUAUUGGGCUGCACAGGAGGAAAUGAGCAUCAGGCAAGCAAGAGAGGCUUUAUUUGUAUUUACUCACAUAUCCCCAUGCAUGUCCUCCUGAGAAACAUAUCACAAACAAAUGAGCUCUCCAUCACUCACAUCACUGCCUAAACUCAGCCUGCUGUCAGAUCAGCCACAGUGUUAGAUUUUCACAGGAAAGGAAACCCUACUGUGAACUCUGCAUGGGAGGGAUCUAGGUUGUGACUCCUUAUGAAAUCUAAUACAUGAUGAUCUGAGUUUAGCUGAGGCGGUGAUGCUAGUCAUGGGGAAUGGCUGCAAAUGUAGGUUAACAUUAGCAGAGAGGUCUGACCACACAGAAACCAUAAGAAAUCAACUGCUUACAGACUCAUUGACACUACAUCAAUGAGUGGCAAGUGACAGUUACACUGCAUCUGGUGGCAGCUUUAAAUGAGAAUCUAACACUUAUUUUAGACUACAUGUAGUCUGUCCAUUAUUUUAUUUCCACUUCCAUCCAUGCUUCUUUUCUGCACUGUGCAGUUGUCUCAGUCAGUUUUGUAAGCCCACAGCUAACCCUAGAUAAAAGGAGUAAAACACAAACAUCACCGGACAGCUUUUUUGAAAGGAAAGAAAGAUCUAAUGAUGAGAAUGCAGAAGACUCUAAGACUACCAGCAAAAAGAAAGCUGCAUUGAAAAGAAAAUACCAAGAAUCUUGUAGGGAACAGGGGAAGGGGACAUUACCAGAACCUCUGCAGUAAAUCCUAGUCUCCUGUGAGCCACAGCAGCACAUGGCGAAUUACAGGAAAGGUAGAAAAAUAAGACUGAGAAGAAGCUGAGCUUUGGGUCUGAUCAGUGCUGCUCUGGGCAGCAAAGACAAGAAGCCCUAGCUUGCAGCACCUUUUAUUUAGUACAUCCGAAGAAACAAAUGUAACAAAUGAAUAAUGUAGAUUUUAGUAUCACAUUGGGAUGAACAACGCGUAACAAAAGACUGGGUGGGGGCAGCGGAAAUCUAAGAACAAUGAGGAACUAUGCAGAUGAAGAUUUAGUUCCUCCCAGGAAUUACACAGAUGAAGAUUUGGUUCCUCCCAGGGUGUCUUCUGCAGGUGUGGUCUUGUCCUGGAGCAUUACAGCAUCAUGG
ensembl:lncRNA